GGGGCUGUCUAGCUUUCGACAGCGAACCUUGAUAGCUGUUGGUCGCAUACCGUUGCUGGUACCGUAACGCAAAAUCGUACCAAACUACAAAUGCCAACAAAGCAUUUAGCGGAAGCUCUGCUUUCGCGCCAGCGCUAGCCUAAUUGCCAGCGCCAUCGUUCCCGUCUCUGCUCGGAUGGGCGGAAUAACGGUGUCAUAUUAUUCGAGCCGCUUUCCGGCAGGCCAUUUGCCGGGACUAAGACCAUAGUGGCUUAAGUUAUUAUCGCUUUGUCGGUUUGAGGAUAAUAACGGAUACCCAACAAACCGGCUAUGUAUGUAGAAGCCGACAGUUAUCGUUCGCUGGACGGGGGUGCGAAUCCCCCCAGCUCCACCA
rnacentral:tmRNA from 2 species